CUGAAACCUGAGCUGCCCGACUACCGUUCUGCCCUCACGGUGAAGAACCAGGGGAAUCCUAUAGGUCUUUGCAAUGUCCCGGAUAAACUGCUGUCUGGACACGAAAGGUGUGGUCCCAGCUCUGCGAACAAGAUUUCAAACUGCCUCACUGACAUCCUGAAAUAUGUCCAAAAGCAGCCAUGAUACAUCUUCAACUCCUGGAUCAAACUAUGAAAUUCUCCCGGCUGCUGCUUUGGCUGAAUUCAUAAUCUCAGUUCUUUUACAAGUCCAGCUGAGGAAUUGACAAGCUAACAGUACAGGGCAAAUAGCAAACAUGUAUCUACAGUAUUACAUGGAUCAUGGGAUUAAAACACACUUUACCUUCA